rnacentral:rRNA from 1 species
UUUAUGGAGAGUUUGAUCCUGGCUCAGGAUGAACGCUGGCGGCGUGCCUAAUACAUGCAAGUCGAGCGAACGGACGAGAAGCUUGCUUCUCUGAUGUUAGCGGCGGACGGGUGAGUAACACGUGGAUAACCUACCUAUAAGACUGGGAUAACUUCGGGAAACCGGAGCUAAUACCGGAUAAUAUUUUGAACCGCAUGGUUCAAAAGUGAAAGACGGUCUUGCUGUCACUUAUAGAUGGAUCCGCGCUGCAUUAGCUAGUUGGUAAGGUAACGGCUUACCAAGGCAACGAUGCAUAGCCGACCUGAGAGGGUGAUCGGCCACACUGGAACUGAGACACGGUCCAGACUCCUACGGGAGGCAGCAGUAGGGAAUCUUCCGCAAUGGGCGAAAGCCUGACGGAGCAACGCCGCGUGAGUGAUGAAGGUCUUCGGAUCGUAAAACUCUGUUAUUAGGGAAGAACAUAUGUGUAAGUAACUGUGCACAUCUUGACGGUACCUAAUCAGAAAGCCACGGCUAACUACGUGCCAGCAGCCGCGGUAAUACGUAGGUGGCAAGCGUUAUCCGGAAUUAUUGGGCGUAAAGCGCGCGUAGGCGGUUUUUUAAGUCUGAUGUGAAAGCCCACGGCUCAACCGUGGAGGGUC